UACGUAGGGUGCAAGCGUUGUCCGGAAUUAUUGGGCGUAAAGAGCUCGUAGGCGGUCUGUUGCGUCGGCUGUGAAAACCCGGGGCUCAACCCCGGGCCUGCAGCCGAUACGGGCAGACUAGAGUUCGGCAGAGGAGACUGGAAUUCCUGGUGUAGCGGUGAAAUGCGCAGAUAUCAGGAGGAACACCGGUGGCUAAGGCGGGUCUCUGGGCCGAUACUGACGCUGAGGAGCGAAAGCGUGGGGAGCGAACAGG
rnacentral:rRNA from 1 species